CUGAGUUUACAGGAUGCUGGAACAUAUCGAUGUGGAGAGACUGGAAAGUGGAGUCAUGAUAUCAACCUGAGAGUAAUUAGAGAUCCAUGUUGUAUGAAGCCAAAGACUACAACAGCUAUUGUGGGUGGGACCGUCACCGUCCACUGUCCCUACCCAGAGCAGUUUGAAACAAAGAUGAAGUUCUUAUACAAAUGGGACAGUCAUUAUUUCACUAAAGUGAUCUAUAUCACAGAGACUCACAGAGACAGAUUCUCCAUCUCUGAUAACAGAAGCUCUAAAGUUGUCAGUGUGAGAAUCAGUGAUGUGAGUGAAGAUGAUGGAGGAGUUUAUUACUGUGCAGUGUGGACUGGAGGAGAAUCAGUCAGUUAUUACUCCCUCCACACAGAAAUCCAGCUAAAGGUUUUAGGGAAAACUGUAACAGAGAAGCCAAGAAGCCUAUCAGUAACAGAUCAGUCUG